CUACAGGAGGUGAAUUCAUCAAUGUUUGAUAGUUUUUUACCUGGGCAAACUAUGGCCUGUGGGCCAGAUCUGGUAUGGUGAAGACUUCUGUUUGUGACUUCUGUGAUGACUGUUGAAGCCACUAGAUGGCAGCAGACACCAAAUGUGCUAAAUAAUCUUACAAAAGUUUUUUGUUGUACAUUUAAUUUACUUCGCCAAGCUUUUUUACAUACAACCAAUACGGAACAAGCCUGCAAUUCAAAUUUUGAAUGUUAUUUUGGCCUGUGAGCCAAAAGGCUUGCCCAGUGUAGAAAAUAAGAACUUGCAUUAGUUAGUUAGUUAUUUUAUAUUUAAAUAAUGACUCAAAUUUUUAGGUGAAAGAACUCAGAAAAUAAUCAACUUUAUUAGUUUAAUUGUACUCUAAACUUUUAAAAUGAACACCUGUUAAAACAGUAAUUGGUGCAAAACAAAGGAUAAAAUCUCUGUCAAUUAAAAAA